GUAAGUACCCUGCGACGCGGCCCCGCGCGGUGCGGCGGGGCGGGAUGGGGCGGGAUGCGGCCGUUGGCACCCACUCCCCCCCUUGGGUGAUGGAUGCUCUUGGGAUGAGGUGCAGGACCACCCUGCCACCCCCCCCGGGUGAUGGAUGCCCUUGGGACAAGGCGUAGGGCUGCACUGCCCGUCUCCCACUGCCGGGUGACGGAUGCCAUGGUGGCACGCGGCACAGUAUAGGUGCCCACAGUGCCUGUCCUGGUGCGAGCCCCACGUGCUGAGGGCUGUCGCCAAGGAUGGAGGAUGGAUUUCCAUGUGGGAUGCGGCUCACGGGAGAUCCGUGAGGCCUUGGGAUGCUGGGGGCGUGCACCCACCGGGGCUGCUGGGCAGUGCCAGGUGUCUGCCAGUGGGAGCUGCCGUGUGCUGGGGGCACACGGGGCAGAACGAGGGAACAGUAAUUAAGCAGGGCUGCUGCAGGUAGUGGGAGGAACGUGGCAGCAGCCCUUGGAGGUCAACCCUUGGGGGUCAGCUCUUGGGGGUCAGCCCUUGGAGGUCAGCCUUUGAUGAAGUCAGACCGUGGGGGUCAGCCCUUGGGGGUCAGCUCUUGGAGGUCAGCUCUUGGAGGUCGGCCGUUGGAGGUCUGCCCUUGGUGAGGUUGGCCGUUGGAGGUCAGCCCUUGGAGGUCAACCCUUGGAGGUCAGCCAUUGGAGGUCAACCCUUGGAGGUCAACCCUUGGAGGUCAGCCCUUGGAGGUCAGCUCUUGGAGGUCAACCCUUGGAGGUCAGCCCUUGGAGGUCAGCCCCUGGGAGUCAGCCCUUGAAGGUCAGCCCUUGGUGAGGUCAGCCCUUGGAGGUCAGCUCUUGGAGGUCAACCCUUGGAGGUCAGCUGCUCUGCAGCACAGCCGUUUGUCUCCGGUCCCAAAUCUCUGCCUAAAAUCUGUGCGGUGUCUUUCUUCUGUAAUGCUGAAGAAGCUGUUCCAAGGUACAGUGCGCCUUUGGAGAGUGUUUACACUGAGAUCUGAUGAAAUACACAUAAAGUGGUAAUUGUAGGAGAAGCGAUAGGACGUUUCAGUAAAUAGAGCAUAAAGGAGCGCUCUGCAUUUCAUUCCAACCCCACGUUUCGUUCUGGAAUCGCAUUCCAUUCUGGUACUGCGUUUGGCUUUAGUAGUGGCUCCGGCUUUUCCUCCACCACAGCUUCAGAAAGUACUGUUUUCCCAUCAGUAUCUGCAGACAGAAAACAAAGCCCCGGCGAGGGGAGCGCGGCCACUCCGCGCUCCAUAGCUGUGUUUGUUUUAUCUUUAAAUCUGGUUGUUGGGAGGAGCGGAGCGGCCGUCGGUCGCGUGGAAUGUACAGCAAAUGGACGUAUUGACCUCGGGUGGGUUUUCUGGUUUUGCCAUAAUUCCGAGUGAAUUUGCAGAGCGCCGACCAGUGCUGCUGCAGCUCUGCAGAGUUCCAAUCCCAGACAGACAGACGGACACAGAGACCCUACUUUAAUUGCACAGGUUGCCUUAUUCCUUGCUGCAUCCAGCACUGCCCGCACAAACCUGUUUUGUGAGCUGCUGAAAUACAGAAGAUCUCAAAGUUUCCGGUAAAAUAGGGUUGUUUUUUUUUUAAUGAGAAGUAAGUUCCCACGCGCGUUCUUUAAAUCUGCUUUGCUCUGUGCCUUUUGGCGCUGGUUUUCCUCGGUUCCUUUACGGCAGUGGCUCACAUCCCCCCGAGGUCUUUACGGGUGCCGUGGGGUUUGCUGCUGGAGGCGGAUUUAAUUGGGGCAGGGUGGAGGAGCCCCCGGGCCGCCCCCAGCAGACAGGCAGGGCCCGUUGCCUGGUGCUGUGGAGGAGCUGCGGCGACGUGGCGCUGCGAUCUGCCCCGGCUGUGGGUCAGGGUGCUGAUGUGCGGGUUGGAGAUGUCAGCAUUCGGGGCGUUACAGCCGCUGGAGAAGUUCUCCCUGGGUUGCUUCUUGCUGCAAAGGAGCGAAAGGCAGUUUGUGCCCGGGCAGGUCAGUCCCAGCGUGUGCUUCCUUGCAGUGCAGCUGUGAGCAGGACGACGCGCUGCCGCAUCUCCCCGCCGUCCCCGCAGCAUUCUCACUUUGCAGCCAGGUGUCUCAGGUCGAACACCCACUGCAGAGCUUGGGGUUUAUUUCAACGGCGCGCAGAGUUUGCAGGGAAAUACCUAAAAUGCAGGCAGGGGUGCCCGAACAGUUUAAUCACUCGCAGCUCUGCUUUCCAAAACAAUUGGUGUGCGCGUCCAGCAGCGCGAGCGCGAGAGUGGUGCGGUCCUGGAAGGGACGGAGCCCUCUGUUGUGGGCAGGCGGAUGGGAGCCUGUGUGGCCGUGUGGCGGGGCCAGGCAUCCCGGCAGCACGCUGCUGCUGUAGGCGGGAGGAGGGCGCUCUGCUUGGGGGUCAGGUUGUGCUCGGUGGCGGAGCCGCACGGAGCCGCGGUGCCGGAGGAGGUAUUUGCAUUUAUAAAUGGGCUAACUCGAUGAUAAUACACUUAGUUGAUAGGGUGGAAUUACCGCCGUAUUUCUCUUAAAAUAUGUAUAUUAACUUGUUCUCUGCGUGAUUUACGCAGCGGAUAUGGAGAUUAAUGCAGCAGCAUUUGUGAAAGCAGUUAUUGUUGAUUAAUUCAUAAGUAGUCUUAUAAAAAUUUCAAUGAUAAACGGUAAUAAAUACGUCGUAUCGACUCCCCUUCACGGCACGGAAUGGCUGCGAGUUUUGAAAACAAAGUAAAUGACACCACAGAGCUAAUCACAGCUCUGCAAACAGCCAGGCCCCAGAGCUGGGGGCUGCCGCACGCGCGGCCCAUUGCCACGGCGCUCCUCCUGGGCAGCGGCAGGCAGAGCUCUGCCCGGGCAGCAGGAAGGAGGGGAGGUUUGGGGCGCCGGGGCUGCUCCAGAUGGAGGUGAGGCGCAGGCACGGCGCGUUUGUGUUCUGCUUUGAGGGGGGGUUGGCCCGUGGGUUUGUACCGCAGCAAAGCUGGAGGGCAUCUGAGCUUCUGCCCCGCAGGCGGGAACCAACAUCACCACGCAGCUGUGGCAGCUGUGGUGCGGUGGAGCCGUGCUGGCAUUGGGUGAGC
ensembl:lncRNA